GACGAACGCUGGCGGCGUGCUUAACACAUGCAAGUCGAACGGAAAGGCCCUGCUUUUGUGGGGUGCUCGAGUGGCGAACGGGUGAGUAACACGUGAGUAACCUGCCCUUGACUUUGGGAUAACUUCAGGAAACUGGGGCUAAUACCGGAUAGGAGCUCCUGCUGCAUGGUGGGGGUUGGAAAGUUUCGGCGGUUGGGGAUGGACUCGCGGCUUAUCAGCUUGUUGGUGGGGUAGUGGCAUACCAAGGCUUUGACGGGUAGCCGGCCUGAGAGGGUGACCAGCCACAUUGGGACUGAGAUACGGACCAGACUCGUACGGGAGGCAGCAGUGGGGAAUCUUGUACAAUGGGCGGAAGCCUGAUGCAGCAACGCCGCGUGCGGGAUGACGGCCUUCGGGUUGUAAACCGCUUUCGCCUGUGACGAAGCAUGAGUGACGGUAAUGGGUAAAGAAGCACCGGCUAACUACGUG
rnacentral:rRNA from 1 species